rnacentral:rRNA from 1 species
CACGUAGGGCGCAAGCGUUGUCCGGAAUUAUUGGGCGUAAAGAGCUCGUAGGCGGUCUGUUGCGUCCGCUGUGAAAACCCGGGGCUUAACCCCUGGCUUGCAGUGGAUACGGACAGACUAGAGGUAGGUAGGGGAGAAUGGAAUUCCUGGUGUAGCGGUGAAAUGCGCAGAUAUCAGGAGGAACACCGGUGGCGAAGGCGGGACUCUGGGCCGAUACUGACGCUGAGGAGCGAAAGCGUGGGGAGCAAACAGG